CAUAGGUCUCAUAGUAGCGCCUUCUGUCCAAGAAAGCAGAGGGAUGGUUAAGAGAAAGCAUUUUAGUUAGGAAGAAGAUAGGGAGAAGGAAAGAACACAGAGAAAGGGGUGGGGAAAGAGUGACAUAUAUAUCAUACAGUAUAUGAAACAUAUACAGCAUUCUCAUAUAUAUGCAUGAGGAGAAGAGGGUAUGAUGCCAGGCGACAGCUCCAGUUUUGGAUGACAAUUCCAUUUUCUAUCCUUAGGAUAAGAACCAUUCCUCAUGUGUAAAGAGGCAGCCAUGAAAUUGUCCUCCAAACUUUGUGGACACUAAAGAGAAAAAACCAAGUCCAGCACUGCAGCAGCUGACUGAACAGAGGACAGAAAAUCAGGAAAUGAGGGUGCGGUUGGUCAUUUAUGAAAUUAAGUGUCAGAAUGAAUGCAGGCUGGUGAUUCAUUACAGAAUGGAGGGUUUACAGUCAAGGUUUGUGAAAGGACUGAUAAGAAUCUGCUUAUGAGUAAGACUUUUCAGAAAAUAAUGUCCUCAAGUUGUCUGGUUGCAGCAAUCCCUCAGUGCAGAGAAGUUUUCCUUCUUUUUAAAAAAUUUCCUCAGAUAUUCACUGCCAUAUAAUUCAAGAUAUAUGCAUGAAAUGAGCGUGUCUGAGGUGAAAAGUGGAACAAGUCAAAAUCCUAAGUACACAAAUAUUACUCAUCUGACUGAAUGCUUUGAAAUAAAACUAAAGGAUUUUUAAAGGAGACAUAUUAUGGAGAUAGGCUUUGGUCAAAUCAUUACAUCAAUCACAGCUCCCUUAUUAACCUCUAUGUUUACACCUCUGUUUAUGGCUUCCAAAAUACUUAAUCAAAUUGCCUGACCAUGCAAAUGUAAUUUUAGAAACAAACUGCGCUUAAGACAACACUAAAUGACAUUAUUACAGUACAAUAGGAACACUGAAGUCAAUGGAACAA